UACAGAGGGUGCAAGCGUUACUCGGAAUUACUGGGCGUAAAGCGCGCGCAGGCGGUCUGUCAAGUUGGAUGUGAAAGCCCCGGGCUCAACCUGGGAACUGCAUCCAAAACUGGCAAGCUAGAGUACGGUAGAGGGUGGUAGAAUUUCCUGUGUAGCGGUGAAAUGCGUAGAUAUAGGAAGGAACACCAGUGGCGAAGGCGGCCACCUGGACAGAUACUGACGCUGAGGUGCGAAAGCGUGGGGAGCAAACAGG
rnacentral:misc_RNA from 1 species